rnacentral:lncRNA from 1 species
AAUUUACUAUGAAAGAUUAAAGGAAGAUGUAGAAAGAUAUACCAUUUUCCAUAUUUAAGACAAGAAAACCUCGUUUGCUAAUUUGUCAGUUUUUCUCUAAUUGAUCUACAGAAUAAAAAAAAUUAAAAUGGUUUUCUGACACAAAAUCCUAUGUGGAAACAUAAAGAUCUUUAAUAGCCAAAACAACUUUGAAAACAAAGUGCAAGUUUAAAAGACUAACACUAGCUAAUUUUAGUUUCUUUUUAAAGCUAUAGGAUUCACUUCCAUGUUUUAUCGGCAUCAAGCUAAACAAAUGAAUUGUUGAAAUAGAAUAGAGGGACCAAACACAGACCCAAGUAUCUAAGCUUUAACAUUGGAAACAAUCCAAUAUCCAUUAGCAAGUGAAGGGAUGAAACUGUGGUGUCACAUACUACUCAGGACUAAAAUCACAGUGACUGGCAAAA